rnacentral:lncRNA from 1 species
AUACUUCCACCCCAUUUUCACUUGACUCCCAUGCAGUUGAAGAGAAAAAUAGAGAGAAUCAGCUAAAGAAAGAAAGGAGAGAAAGGUGGAAGGCUUGGGUAGUAAGUGAUUCAAGAGUAAUUGAAGAAAUAUCAAGUGGGUCUCAAGAUUCAAGAAACAUAAGUUAAAGGUUUUUGUGUUUUAAGCUCAUGGUUGGUUAAAUCUUUGGAAAAAUGAUGUGUGAAUCAUUUUGUGGCAGUUAUGGUGACCAUGGGUGUGAGGAAAUUAUGAAUUUUGUUGGGUGAAACCCAAGUUAAAACCAAGUGGUAAGCUUAAUGCUACAAUUUGAAGUUUAUGAUUAGUUUAAUAUUGUGAGAAUGAUUGUAUGCAUAUGUAGUGUUAUUGUGAUGUCAUGGGUAUGGUUGGAAGGUAAUUAUAUUAAUUAGAAGUUUGGUGUGUAAAUAUGUGUUGUUAGGAAAGGUUUAAAAGGUUAUGGAAAGGUUUAAAAGGUUUAAAGGAUAUGUGUAGAUAUGUGUUGUUAGGAAAGGUUAUGGAUGUUGGUGUGCAUGAAUGAAUAUUAAUGUUAUGCUUGGUGGCAACAUGUAAAUGGGGAUGGUGGUACAUGUAGACUUAGAAAAUGUUUGAUGGAAGUAAAUUUAUAUUUGUUGCCAUAUGCUAGGUAAUUAUUGUGGAAAUGAUGGAUAAACUUGAUAAAUAUCCUUAGACAAUAUUUAUAUAUGUGCUAGAGUCAUAAAUAAGUUACCGGUAUCCAUAAUCUAAAGAAUUACGCAAGUAAAGGAUAAAGACCACUUUGGUAAAGAAUGUGUCAAGAUAUAUGUUAGUUGAAAAAGGAUUCAUGAUUGAAGGAAAAAGAGAAGUAGAAAUGAGGUACACUAAAGAUAUUGAAUUUGGAUUGUUGCUAGGAAGUACAAAAGUAAAGGUAGUGUACUAUGGUAGCGUGUCGGAGAAAAUAACGAGCGACCAACAAGUAGCAAUAGCUAGAUACACCUCCGAACUAAUAGUGAUGUAACAUCCUACUAUCGUAAGGUGAGUGAACUUACAUUAUAAUGUUUUGGAAUAAAUGAUUAUAUGCUUGAUUGAACCACUUGAAUUAUUUUACUGAUUUUUUUUAAAAUUUACAUGGGAACAAGCCCUUGAUGAAACAUUAUAUGUCAUGAAUGUGUAAUAUGAUGAAUCCUUGUGCUCCCAUAUUAUAUUGAUAUAUAUAUAUUGUGUAGUGAUAGUUAAUAUUGUGUGAUAAUUAUAACCGCACAUGUGCGUUAUGUGGGGGUUGCACAUGCUGGUGAUGACGGGGUGAGGGAGUGUGGAUGAUGAGAUUGCCUAUGUGCGUGAUGUGGGGGGAGCACAUGAUGGCAUUAGUUGUGAGCGAUGUGAAGGUGCACACGAUGAUGAUGAUAUAUGCCAUGUGCGCGAUGUGGGGGAGCACAUGAUGGCAUUAGUUGUGCGAGAUGUGGGGGUGCACACAAUGAUGAUGAUAUAUGCCAUGUGCACGAUGUGGGGGGAGCACAUGAUGGCAUUAGUUGUGCACGAUGUAGGGGUGCACACGAUAACUCCGGCUAUGUGUGGUGCGGAGUGCAUGUGAGCUGGGCGAGGUGGUGGUUGUAUACAUGCUUGUGUGUGUGUGUGUGUGUAUAUAUAUAUGCUAUAAAUAUGUUUUUUAUAUGCUAUAGAAAAGGUUAUGAAAAAAAUAUGUGACUGCAUUGUAUAUUGAAAAAGCUUGAUUAUUGUCAAUGUGCUUGAUUUAAUGUACAAUAUGGCAUGAGUGGAUUUUCCUUGUGGCAGUGAAAACCCCUUAGAUUUUAUCUGGCCAGAAUUUCGUUGCAACGAGAAUGCCUUUUUGCUGGGGUGAGAAUCGAUUUAUUAGGCUUGACUUGCUUGAAUUCUACUAAAGUUUUCACUCUUCAACUUCUUUGUUGUCAGUGGAUCCUUCAUCAUCAAGUGAUUAAACAACCAAGGGUUGGAAUGAGGGGUUUUUAAUAAGAAAUAAACUAAAUUGCAUUAUUUUUGAACUUAAAUGCAUCAUGAUUUCUAAACCUUCCUUAACGUUGCUUGGUCCCUUCUUAUGUUCACUCACUGUGUUUAUACUCAUAUUUUUAAACUUCAUGUUUUAAGUUUUCUGAGUUAAAGGUGACUGAUCCUAGGACGAGGUGCUUCUCCCUAUCAAUUGCUCGGUAAGCUUACCAUGACACUAAAUGUUAGCAACCGUGCCCAGAGUCACUCCCCUAACGGUCAAGGUCUAAUUAUGUGUAUAUUAAUGCUUGAUGUGAAAUGCUAAGACUCAUUUGUCAAGCUAUAUAUGUAUAGUAUGGUUGAUGAUGCCAUUAUGAAUACAUAAUUGGGUCUUAUGAAUUGUUUUCAAAGGAAUUAUAUUUGAACAUUACAAAUUUUGGAUUUUAAAGACAUAUGGAUUAAUGUACAAGAUUAUAUAAAUAGGCUUGCUUGUGCUUAGUGGGCUGAGCCUUUUAGGCCCUUGAGCAGGUCAUGGCCUAGAAAUUAAGCUGUGACAUAUAUAUACUUAUGCAAUAUAAAGUUUAUGAAUAUGGUAUAUGGUUGUAAUGUAUGUGGAAUCCUGCAUGUUAAACCUUGGAUAUUGCUAAGUAAUUUUAAACUGAUUAUUUUUAUUUGCAGCAACAUGGCCUUUUCUUGAUGUAAUAAGAAAUUUCUUCUUGGUGUUCUGUUUCUCGCUAUAGUGAGAAACUCUCGAGUUGGGAGGCUGGCUGCAGUCUUGUAACUCGCUGCAGCGAGAUACCUACAGGUGCUUUUCACUGUAGCAAGAAUGCAUUCUCGGGUGGUUCAAGAUUUUGGUCCGAAUUUCGUUGCAGUGAAAAUUCAUUCUUCGCUGCAGCGAGAAUGCCUUUCUACUGCAACGAGAAACCCUUUGUUUUGCUUGUCUUACGUGGAUAUUUGCUGAAAUUUUUCAUUCUUUUCAACUUCAUGAUUUAUCAUGGAUUUUCAAUGCUAAGGAAUUAAAUAAUCAAGGGUUGAAUUAAAAGGCUUUACAAGAAAUUAAACUAAGUUGCAUUGUUUGUAACUAAAGUGCAUCAUGUUUUUAAAAUCUCUUCGUAUCGUUUGCUUGUUCCCUUCUUAUGUUCACUCAUUGAGUUUAUACUCACUGUUUUCAACUUCAUGUUUUCAGAUCAGGAGGCAGUUGGAACCUAGGUUGAGGUGUCCAUGUAGAUUCGUUUCUUUGGUAGGUAUCUCGGCAUUCAAUAGCUAUACCUUCGCCAAGGUCACUCCAUUGGAAGUCGAGUGUCUUUUUGUUGUGUAUAGAUAAAUGAGAUGUAAAUUACUAAGAUAUAUGUCUUAGACAAUAUAUGUGUAUUUUGAUUGGUAAUGCCUCUAUGAGUUGGCAAUGGUUAAUAUUAUUUUGGAUUAACAUAAAUGCAAAUAUUUGAUUGUUGUAG